rnacentral:rRNA from 1 species
UACGUAGGGUGCAAGCGUUGUCCGGAAUUAUUGGGCGUAAAGAGCUCGUAGGCGGUUUGUCGCGUCUGUCGUGAAAGCCCACGGCUUAACCGUGGGUCUGCGGUGGAUACGGGCAGACUAGAGGCAGGUAGGGGAGAAUGGAAUUCCCGGUGUAGCGGUGAAAUGCGCAGAUAUCAGGAGGAACACCAGCGGCGAAGGCAGCGCUCUGGGCUGGAACUGACGCUGAGGAGCGAAAGCGUGGGGAGCGAACAGG